rnacentral:rRNA from 1 species
CAUCACUACGCUAGAUGCAUAUCAAUAAGCGGAGGAAAAGAAACUAACUAGGAUUCCCUCAGUAACGGCGAGUGAAGCGGGAAGAGCUCAAAUUUGAAAUCUUCAAGGUUCUACCUUGACGAAUUGUAGUUUAAAGAAGUGUUUUCUGUUGAGUUUUGGUAAAAGUUCUUUGGAAUAGGACAUCAUAGAGGGUGAGAAUCCCGUAUUUGACCGUUAUUUUCAACUUUGUGAUACACUUUCAAAGAGUCGGAUUGUUUGGGAAUGCAGUCCAAAAUGGGUGGUAAAUUUCAUCUAAAGCUAAAUAUUGGCGAGAGACCGAUAGCGAACAAGUACCGUGAGGGAAAGAUGAAAAGAACUUUGAAAAGAGAGUUAAACAGUACGUGAAAUUGUCAAAAGGGAAGCGUUUGACACCAGUGUUGUUUUCUCGAAAAUCAAUUAAAAAUGGCUGGAUUUUGUGUUGUAUUGACUUUAUCAGCUUUCUGCACUUUUUUCCUUAUCUUUUUUAAUGCACUUUUCGUUUAACAAGUCAACAUCAAUUUCUUUUGCUGUAAAAGGGUCAUUGAGGAAGGUGGCUUUACUUUCGGAGUAAAGUGUUUAUAGCCUUUGACUCUGCAGUCGGAGAGAUUGAGGUCUGCAGCGUAGAUCCUUCGGGGUUAGAUACAUUUGUGCUAAGUUAUAGCCUUUUCAUAGACAACUUGUUGACUAUGAUUAGUCUUGUAGCUUACUCGCUUAUGCUAUUUUACCUACGCUUAGGAUGUUGAAGAUAUGCGCGACACG